AGGAUGCACAUUUUUUAGGUUUUAUAUGCUGUGGAUAAUAUGCCCUUGAGAAAGAGAGCUUUCAGGAAACCAUCUGUUCCUGUGAUGAAAGCUUGCCUCGGGAAUUACAACGACCCAGGUUUAAAGUUGGACUUUGCCACUUUCCAGCGAUAUCCUGACUUCCAAGGACGCCCAGCUCUGUUUCUGUGACCCAGGGAAACUACGACUCAGCUUUGCUGGGUUCUCCAUCCCUGUACCAUGACCUGGAAACUUUCUCCGAGUAAUAAGAGCUCAGGUAGUCAUAACGCUCGCCUCAUUUGUCUCCUGUCAAUCAGGGAUCCCCACUCAUCAUUGCCUGAUGUCCAAUAUCUUAAGUACUGUUGUUUCAUUUGUAUAUCUUUAUUUCCAGCUAUUUCAGGCAAGAGGACAAAUCUGGUCCUGGUUAUUCUAUCUUGAUUGGAAGUGGAAGUCCCUAUAUUCUUAUUUAACCUAAUAUUUCCCUUUAAAAAGUCUAAAUUUUCCUUUAUG
rnacentral:lncRNA from 1 species